rnacentral:lncRNA from 1 species
CACCACUAGUUUUUCUUUCUCUCUCUCUCUCUUUUUUUUUUUUUAAGAUUUAUUUAUUUGAGAGUGAGAAACAGCGAGCACAAGCAGAGGGAGAAGCAGACCCCCUUGCUGAGCUGGGAGCCUGACGUGGGGCUCGAUCCCAGGACCUGGAGAUCGUGACCUGAGCCGAAGGCAGAUGCUUAACCAUCUGAGCCACCCAGGCGCCCCUCCCCCUUUUUUAAAGAUUUAUUUACUUAUUACCACUAGUUUCUUUAUAAGUAACACCACAGGCAACUCUGGCUGCAGGCGACUGACGCCGGACAAGACUGCUCGCACUGGGCCUUCGCUGCCCAGGAGACGGACCCAGACCUCCACCAGGGCCCGGCAGGGCUUGCCCACCAAGGCUCUGACAGGUCUGCUCCCUCCCGGAGCACCUCAGCGCCCCAGACGCGACGGCCUGUGGAGGCCGAGAGGGAUCCCCGCUCCGUGCGGCCCCUUGGCUCGGCCUGCCCAGCUCCCUGCGGCCCCCACAACGGGCGACCGGCUCGCCGAGGGCUGCAUCCAUCCCGCUCCGGCCGCACCCCCCAGCCGCACACGCAGGAACACCCACCUCCGGCCCACACCGCUGCCAAAGGAUCUCCCACUACUUCAGCUCUCCAAGCCUCACGUCGACCCAGUGAUCUGGAGGCAAAACACACCAGCAGACGUCCCUGGGGAAUCAUGGCAGCUAAAGACUCCUACUUUCAGAGGCCUGUUCGUCCUGCCCACCAUUCCCACAGCCGGACCUGUUUGCAAGGAUGCAGCCUUGAGAGAGGAAGGUGUUGAGGCCGAACCCAGUGGAGGCCUCUAGUAAACGUCGAAGAGCCUGGCAGGCAGUGUGGAAGUCUGCGUGUCUUGUGGCUGCCCAAGACAAGCCUCAAAUGUGAGUUCCCUUGUUUGUUAAAGCCACCACCCACCGAUCUGGAGUGGCCUGCCUCUUUGGUCUCUCCCUGCCCUCAGUGUGGGGUGGGGGGCGGGGACAGUUUGCAAACCAGCAGUCAUCCUGCAAGUCACCAUGUCCCUGGGCCUUACCUUCCUCACCUUGUUCCCUGUUCUACAGGUGGAGUGGAGGCCUCAGCCUCAAUU